rnacentral:rRNA from 1 species
CAUGCGAGUCGAACGUCCCCUGUUGCGGGGGCGUGGCGUACGGCUCAGUAACACGUAGUCAACUGCCCUGGAGACAAGGACAACCCCGGGAAACUGGGAUUAAUCCUUGAUAGGUCAUCUCAUCUGGAAGGAGAGAUGGCUUAAAGGGGUACGCGGGCUUCUUCUGCGUAUUCGCUCCAGGAUGGGACUGCGUCCGAUCAGGCUGUUGGCGGGGUAAUGGCCCACCAAACCUGUAACCGGUACGGGCCUUGAGAGAGGUGGCCCGGAGAUGGACACUGAGAGAAGGGUCCAGGUCCUACGGGGCGCAGCAGGCGCGAAACCUUCGCAAUGCGCGAAAGCGUGACGAGGUUAAUCCGAGUGACUCCCGCUGAGGGGGUCUUUUGUCAGCUGUAAAUAGGCAGGCGAAUAAGGGGAGGGCAAGCCUGGUGUCAGCCGCCGCGGUAAUACCAGCUCCUCGAGUGGUCGGGGCGAUUAUUGGGCCUAAAGCAUCCGUAGCCGGUUCCGUAGGUCCUCUGUUAAAUCCAACCGCUCAACGGUUGACCUGCAGAGGAUACCGCGGGACUAGGAGGCGGGAGAGGCGGACGGUAUUCCGCGUGUAGGGGUAAAAUCCUUUGAUCCGCGGAGGACCACCAGUGGCGAAGGCGGUCCGCCAGAACGCGCUCGACGGUGAGGGAUGAAAGCUGGGGGAGCGAACCGGAUUAGAUACCCGGGUAGUCCCAGCCGUAAACGAUGCUAGCUAGAUGAUUCAUUCGCAAGUCGCGAAUGAAGUGUCGCAGGGAAGCCGUUAAGCUAGCCGCCUGGGGAGUACGGUCGCAAGACUGAAACUUAAAGGAAUUGGCGGG